rnacentral:lncRNA from 12 species
AUGCCUCGGAGGCUCAGCGGUUGAGCACCUGCCCCUGGCUCAGGGCAUGAUCCGCGGUCUCAGGAUUGAGUCCCACAUCAGGCUCCCUCCCUGGAGCCUGCUUCUCCCUCUGCCUAUGUCUCUGCCUUUCUCUCUCUGUGUCUUUCAUGAAUAAAUAAAUAAAAUCUUUUUUUUUUUUUUUUUUAAAGAACUAUCCAGAUGGUGUCCUUCCUAACCACCAUAUGAAAAGGUGUCAGUUUUGGAUCUUUACAUUUAGGAUUUUAUUUAGCCACAUUCCACAAGAAAAAUGUUGUUUAUAUGAAGGGACUUUUCAGAGACUCUAGUGAGUUUGGAAUAACACAUCUUAGGUUUUGUUAGAUGCAUGACAUCAUUUGAAAUGAAUAGUCUAAUUUACUCAGAUAAAGGCAUGGAAUGGCUAUGUUCUUUUUGAUUUGAGAGUUUUUAGGCUUUUCAGACCAAAUAAUUAACCUAACGGGGAGGAAGAAAUAAUGACUAAGUAAAACAUGAAAUGUCUAAGGACAAUUAAUGCAAAAAGAGGUAUGUCUUAGGAACUCAAAUCCUUAGCAGGACAAAGGGUGGGGUAGGCACUAUGGUGGUAGAGUACUGGUUGGUAGAUGCGGAUGUCAUUGAGACAAUUACACCUAAAAGAGUGAAUUCCUCUCUUGAAUAGGCCUCCAACUGGCCUACAUAUGAAGUAUAAAAAGUGAAAGAAAUAUUAAAUCAAGGGAAUCAGACUAAUGAGGCUAUUUUUCAGGGAUCCAAGCCAGUUGAAAAUGGCAUCUAGCUCUAUGGUUUGUGUCUGCGCUCAACUGCCGCUGCAGCAUGUGGACUCAGACACUGAACUGUGCACAACCCAAGAGAAGAAAGGAGGGAUAAUAAAAUGCAUUUGUAUUGGGCCUCUAUUCUGGAUCAGGAAUCAUCUAUUCUGCAUGAGGGGUAUUACUAGGCUCUUUCUUUUGGUCUUGACCAGGUCUUAGAAGGUAAACAUUUUAAUGCCAGUUUUGAGACUGAGGGAUCAGAGGCAGAGAGAGGUAUAGAAUUUGCUCAGGGCUACAUCCAGUAAUAGAAGUGUGACUCUAAGAUCUGUAAAACUUCUUCCAUGCCACGCUUCCUGAGGAAAUGCUUGUAAGCGGGGCUGUGCCAUGUUCCUUUCUAAAGUAGAGAGGAAGCCCGUGAUGAUGGAGUGACACCAAGCCAGGAUAUAGGGGAUCGGAACACAUCUGCCUGGCAGUCCUGGUGAGCACGAGGGUUAGGCUGAUAGGGCCCCAGUGACCCAGCCCUUUGCCUACCAGUGCGGUGGGGGGCCUCUGGUAGUAGGAGAGUAGCAGAGAGCUGGAAGUCAGGUUGAUGGUGGUUCUCAAAGGAUGGCCUCCAGACCAGCAGCAUUGGCAUCAUCUGUGAGCCUGUCAGAAAAGCAGAGUCUCAAGUCCCAUCCUGACCUACUGAAUUGGAGUAUCUGGAGGUGGUCAGAGGAGACUAAACAAACCCUUCAGGUGAUUUUCAAGCACAAGAUUGUGAACCCUUGCUGUAGGGGUAUCAAGAAGUUAAAUGAGAGGCUUGGGGGCAGAGUAAAGGAGCUUUGAUGCUGGGGGAGAGGAUGGUAGGUAGAUGAGACUUUGAGCUCAUCAAUGGUAUGAAAGAUAGGCUUCUGAUAGGCAGAAUAAGAAACAGGUGCGAGGGUGAUGGGGCCAGGUGUGGGAUGGGGAAUGACCUAUAGUCAAUACCACAUUUGACCUCAUCUGGGUCACCAGCAGCAAUCUCUCUCCUGGCUCUAAGCUUCACUUCAGGCAUAGGUGAUGGUGUUGGUAGGGCUGUAGCCACCCAUCCCAUGGAGUAGCUGGCAGGCUGCAAAGCAAAUUAAUAGAAGUGUGUAUGCCUGACAUAAAGUCAGUGCUCAAAACACUGUCCUUGAAUUUGGAUUUAAAUGGGGAGCUGAGUAGAUAGGGAAAGACGGCAGCAGCCCCCUUCCCUCUUGAAGUGACCCUGGCCUGCUCAGGCAGCUCUUGUGGUUGGAACAUUCCCCUCUGGCAUCCAGACAGCCUGAAGUUACCUGGAAAGGUAAAUUCUCAAUUUGGACUUAUUUGAACAAUGAAGCAAAUAUUUUGCCUAUCUUCUAUGGAAGCAAAAGCUAAGUAUAUCCCUCAAAAGACAAAAGGGAUAGGUUUUCUCCAAGUUAUAAAUUUUGUGCAGGGCAGAGGAUAGAAAAAUAGAUAAUACAGCUUGAGCAAGAAGGGAAGUAGUGUGGCAUUAUGAAAAGCAUCAGGCGCUCGGAGGGAAAAGACCUGGAGUUGAGUCAGCACUGGUCUCUAACCCAGCUGAGUAACCUUAGCAAGUGACUGAAUCUUUCUGAAUUGUAUGUUCUUCAUUUCCAAAGGGGGUUAAUUCUCCACCUCUUGGUAUUGUGAAAAUUGGGGAAAAAUGUAGUAGAAAUGUCCCUAAUGGUGCCAGGCACAUGCCAGCCAAUAAGAAAUGUUUUCUGCAUCUCAAUUCUAUACCUAUCCCUUGCCCUGAAGAAAGCCCGGGAAGUUAUCCCACCUCUGCAGGCUUUGCUAAUGUGGGCCCUUUUGAGAAAGCCUUGUCUGCAAUGACUCUUUAUGUGUUUAUGUGAUAAAAUUCCUUUGCCCUUAGGUACUUCAUAUUCUCCAGUCUUUACUGGGUUGGGAAGGAUAUUUGCCAUGCCGACUGAUCAGCUUCUCUAUGCGAUAUAAGAUGUUUUGGGCACUGUCUCUUUCUCCUCUGUUCUGAAGUGCGGGUGCCCUUCCCCUUGUAUUCCUCUCUUGCAUCCGGAGACCUUCGAGCUGCGAAUGGGGUCCCUGUCUGGCCAACAUGAGCAAGAUUAAGACAAGAAGCAGCUGGGUGACUGCAUCAUUUCAUGGGCACUGAUUUUAUUGAAAGGCCGGGGGUCUGCAAGUGGGAGACAAUUUUAGUUUCUGUAAUUGUCUCCUCUAGAGGCAUCGUGAGAGAGAAGGAAAAAUCAAACACUCAGUCUGCUCUCUUGCCCCAGGCUCCAUAAUUUGCCUUUUACUUUCUGUAUUUUCAUAUUGGAGUUUGAAAAGCAGAGGACCCAAACAAUCAGCAACAGAUGUCCUCGUGUAAUCUGCACGGUACAUGACUUCAGUUAGCAUGCAAAUUGUCAUCCUAGCGCCGUUCCAGGGGACUGCUGAAAAGACAGCAGGCCUGCUUUGCAAAAUAGAGGGAGGGCAUGAUUAAAAUGUCUGGAUCCAAUCAUAUGUUUAAUUACAAUCCCUUUUUUAUCUCAACGACAAUGACUGGUAGCUAUUAUGACACAAUAUUGAAAAUGUGUAUGACGCAUGGUGGUACUUGGAAGGCUGAGAGGUGGUCUGUGUUUGAUCAAAAUGAUCAAAGCUCCUUGCCAUGGAGAGCCCCCUCUCCUUCUGCCUCGUCUGAUCCACUUAGACGAGCAAAAUAUGAUUUAUAGGAGACUAUGUGAUUUUCAUUCCCCGAGAGCAGGGGCAUAAUUUUUGCACCACCAUUUCCCCUAGACACGAUGGGAGCUUGACAAUUGCUUAUAAAUGCACAGUAACAGCCCCUACUCCAUGGAUGUCUACAAGGCCUCUCUCAUGCUUCAGGUUUAAUUUACUCUGUGUUCCAACACUGUUGAAUUUUAUUAUUGGUAUAAUCAGAAAAAGACCAAAAAAAAAAAAAUCUUAAAAGCUCAGAGAGACUCUUGAUUAUUUCAUUCUAUUCAUACAUCCAGUUUGUCUUUUGGAGAGUUUAGAGGGAAACAGAAGUGAUUUUUUUUCACAAAAUGAUAUGAAGUUUUACUGCUUGGUUGAUAUAAAGAUGGAAUUUCAUUAUGUCAGCUUGUAGAAGUGACAUCAAAAAUUGCUGUUGUGUCCCUUAUAAGAAUGAAUGUGUAUUGUUUAUGUUUUAUCCUUUAGCUGGAACUCUGGAAGGCAGAAAUAAAGCUAAGACUCAACUUGUUUGGCA